UAACAACUCUCCAAGGCUGGAUGUCCAGCAAGGGUGUGUGGCUCUAUAAUCUAGAGCUAAAGCUAGAAAUCCACUGCUGUUGCGAUCGAUUGUAGAGUCAUACACCUCUACUGGCCUUCCAGUCUGUUUGCUCACA
rnacentral:pre_miRNA from 16 species